GGUAGGUGUAUCUGUGUCAAGGAGGUAGGUGUAUCUGUGUCAAGGAGGUAGGUGUAUCUGUCAAGGAGGUAGGUGUAUCUGUCAAGGAGGUAGGUGUAUCUGUGUCGAGGAGGUAGGUGUAUCUGUGUCAAGGAGGUAGGUGUAUCUGUGUCGAGGAGGUAGGUGUAUCUGUGUCAAGGAGGUAGGUGUAUCUGUCAAGGAGGUAGGUGUAUCUGUCAAGGAGGUAGGUGUAUCUGUGUCGAGGAGGUAGGUGUAUCUGUGUCGAGGAGGUAGGUGUAUCUGUCAAGGAGGUAGGUGUAUCUGUCAAUGAGGUAGGUGUAUCUGUCAAUGAGGUAGGUGUACCUGUCAAGGAGGUAGGUGUAUCUGUCAAGGAGGUAGGUGUAUCUGUGUCAAGGAGGUAGGUGUAUCUGUGUCGAGGAGGUAGGUGUACCUGUGUCAAGGAGGUAGGUGUAUCUGUGUCAAAGUCAACAGUCAAGAGAAGACUUCACCAGAGUAAAUACAGAGCGUUUACCACAAGAUGCAAACCAUUGGUCAGC
ensembl:lncRNA